rnacentral:rRNA from 1 species
UACGUAGGGUGCGAGCGUUGUCCGGAAUUAUUGGGCGUAAAGAGCUCGUAGGCGGCUUGUCGCGUCGACCGUGAAAACUCGCAGCUCAACUGCGAGCCUGCGGUCGAUACGGGCAGGCUAGAGUUCGGUAGGGGAGACUGGAAUUCCUGGUGUAGCGGUGAAAUGCGCAGAUAUCAGGAGGAACACCGAUGGCGAAGGCAGGUCUCUGGGCCACUACUGACGCUGGAGAAGCGGAAAGCAUGGGGAGCGAACAGG